UCUUCAUUGUGUUUGUGUCUCUUUUAGGGUCACAGCAGAAGCAGGGGUGGGAAUAGCAGGGAGAAACAGAGGGCUAAUGCGCUGCCGACCCUUCUAACCUGACAUCCUCUCCUGUGGGCUGACAGCCGUUCAUCAGCCAUUUUCUGUUCUGUUCCUAUGAAGGCAGACUUCAGUGCCUCCAAAUAAAUUGCCUUUAUGCCUAUCUGCUCCCCAUCCAAAUACAACUGUGGGUGUGGACAUUUGGGAUGGAAUAUUGGGGCCUUCGAUUCAGGUGUGGAUGAAUGGAGAAGUCCUGAUCAUCUAUGGUUUAAGAUGUGGAAUUAAAAGGCAGAUGGAAUUCGACAAGAGCCCAAUUGCCCUGGCUGCAACUUCCAGUACAAUGUUGAAUAUAAGUGGCAAUAGUGGACAUCUUGGGGGUAAAAAUGUUCAAGGGUAGACUGCUAGAUCAUAUGUUCUGCAAUGUCUUAAUUACUGUAGCUAUACACUACAUCUUAUAUUCAGGUACUGUGAUUCCUCCAAUGUAAUUUUUCUUUCUCAGAACUGUUGUAGCUAUUUUAGUUCAUUUGUCUUUCCAUGUAAGUUUUAGAAUGUUUACUAAUGUCUACAGAAAAUUUGUUGGGAUUUAGGUAGGAAUUUAUUUAUAUCUAUAUAUUAAUUGGGGAAAAUUAACAUCUUUGCUGUGUUUAGUUUUCCAUUCUAUGAACAAGGUAUGUCUUUUUACUUAUUUAGGUCUUGUUUUAUUUAUUUUAUUAAUGUUCUAUAAUUUUCAGUGUAAAGAUUCUGCACAUUUUGUCAUAUUUAUGCCUUUAAAAGUUUUUAUGGUAUUUUUUAAAUUGGAGUUUCUUGGCCAGGCGCAGAGGCUCACGCCUGUAAUCCCAACACUUUGGGAGGGUGAGGCACACGGAUUGCUUGAGGUCAGGCGUUCGAGACCAGCCUGGCCAACGUGGUGAAACCCCGUCUCUACUAAAAAUAUGAAAAUUAGCCAGGUGUGGUGGCACACACCUGUAAUCCCAGCUACUCAGGAGGCGGAGGCUUGAGAAUCACUUGAACCCUGGAGGCAGAGAUUGCAGUGAGCCGAGAUUGCACCACUACACUCCAGCCUGGGUAAGAGAGAGAGAUUCUGACUGAAAAAAAAAUUAGUUUACACACACACCCACACCCACCCACACACACACAAAUAUUCUGUGUUUAUCUUGUAUCUCUAAUCUGGCUACAAUCAAUUAUUAGUUCUUGGGGUUUUUUUUGGUAGAUUCCCUGAAAUUGUCUACACAGAUGUCAUGUCAUCUGCAAAAUAGUUUUCUUUCUUUUUUCCUAUCUGUAUUAUUUUUCUUUUUCUUUUCUAUUUUUUCCUGAUUGAACUAGCUAGGGCACCAUGUAGCAUUGUUGAAGAAGUGGUAAGAAUGGACAUAUUUGCCUUUUUCCAGUCCUGGAGAAAAUACGUAAGUCUUUUAUAGUUAAGUAUAAUGUUCACUGUAGGUUUUUAGUAAACGGUCUUCUCAGCUCAAGGAAGUUAACUUCAUUGGACUUUGGCUUAUUCCUACUUUGCUAACAGAUUUUAUCCAGAAUGAAUGUUAGCAAUUGUAUGCCUUGAAUUAUUCCUAAGUUUAUUUAGAGUUGUUUUUUGUCCCAGAAUGUAGGUUAUCUUUCUAAAUGUUCAGUGUGCUUCCAAAAGGUGAGUGUAUUCUGUUGCUGUUGCGUGGAGCAUAUGAAUCUAUAAAUGCCAGUUAGAACAAGUUAUAGAAUAGUAUUUUCACAAUAUUCUAUACUGUUACCAAUAUUUUUUCCUCUACUUAUUUAACAUUGAGAGAGGGGUAUUAGAAUUUACAACUAUAAUUUUUAAUUUGUCUGUUUCUCUUUGAAGUUCUAUCAGUUUUCACUUCAUGUAUUUUGAAGAUUGUUGCUUGGUGAUGAAAGAUUAGGAUUACUGUAGGUUCUUGAUAAACUGUCCCAUAUUGUUAUGAACUAAUUUUCUUUAUUCCUGGUAUGAUUUUGGUAUGAAAUCUAGUUUGAUUUUUAAAAACAUCACCAUUAAAGGUUUGUUUUGAUAUUUGUUAUGAUGGCAUAUAUUUGUCUAUUUUUUUACCUUUACACUAUGUAUAUCUUUGUAUUUAAAAUGCAUUUCUUCAGGAAACUUAUUGUUGGCUUUUGCUUUUAUGUCAUAUCUGACAAUGUCUUAGAGUUUGUGCAGACUGUUUAAAAUUAAAAUGAUCAUUUGGUUCUUUUUUCUUCUUUAUCUGCUUUAUUUUGGAAUAAUAUGGUAUGUUUCAUAAAAUGAUCAUUUGAUUCUUUUUUCUUCUUUAUCUGCUUUAUUUUGGAAUAAUAUGGUAUGUUUUAUGAUUCAGUUUUCUUUUAUUGGAUUAUUAUUUGUAACUCUUUUAUUAUUCUGGUGGUCGAUUUAGGGUUUACUGUGUACAUUUAACUUAUCGGAGUCUACUUUCAAGUGAUAUCCUACAAGUGUAUGAAAUGUAUAAGAGUCUUAAAAUGGUAUAAAUGCAUUUCUUCCUUUCUGAUCUUUGUAAAUUUGUCAUACAGUUUACUUUUACUGGCAAUCCCUCAGCACAUUGUAAUUUUUUUGUGUAAAUAGUACAUUAUAUGCUAAACAUAUAUAAACAAUACUAAAAUUAUCUUAUUACUUACUCAUGGAACUACAAAUCCCUGUGUUCUUCACUCUUUUGUGUAGAUUCAAAUUUUUAUCUGUCAUUGUUUACCUUCUACCUGAAAUUUAACAUUUAUUGUAGUGAGAGUCUACUAGUGAUGUGUUAUUUCUGCUUACAUGUACAUGAAACAGUCUUUGUUUUUCCUUGCUUUUGGAAAAUAUUUUUGCUUUGUAUAGAAUACCGAUUGACUUUUUCUUCUUUCAUUGCUUUAACAAUAUCACCACACUGUCACUUCUGUGUUGUUUUUGAGAGGUGAAGCCAGCUGGGCUUCUGGGUCGGGUGGGGACUUGGGGAACUUUUCUGUCUAGCUGAAGGAUUGUAAACACACCAAUCAGCGCUCUGUGUCUAGCUAAAGGUUUGUAAACACACCAAUUAGCACUCUGUAAAAAUGGACCAAUCAGCACUCUGUAAAAUGGACCAAUCAGUGCUCUGUAAAAUAGACCAAUCAGCAGGACGCGAGCCGGGACAAACAAGGGAAUAAGAGUUGGCCAGGAGAGCCAGCAGAGGCAACCUGCUGGAGUUCUCUUCCAGACUGUCAAAGCUUUGUUCUUUCACUCUUCUCAAUAAAUCUUGCUGCUGCUCAUUGUUUGGGUCUGCACUACCUUUACAAGCUGUAACACUGACUGUGAAGGUGUGUGGCUUCACUCCUGAAGUCAGCAAGACCACAAACCCAGCAGGAGGAAGAAACAACUCUGGACGCACCACCUUUAAGAGCUGUAACGCUCACUGCGAACGUCUGUGGCUUCACUCCUGAAGUAAAGCGAGACCAUGAGCCCACGGUAAGGAAUAAACUCUAGACACAUCUGAACAUCUGAAGGAACAAACUCUGGACAUACCAUUUUUAAAAGCUGUAACACUCACCAUAAGGGUCUGCGGCUUCAUUCUUGAAGUCAGUGAGACCAAGAACCCACCGGAAGGAACCACUUCCAGACACAUUUUCAUUGAGAAAUCUGAUGUUAUCCUGAUUUGUAUUUUUUUCUUUUCCUUUUUUGAGAUGGAGUCUAGCUCUGUCGCCCAGGCUGGAGUGCAGUGGCGUGAUGUCGGCUCACUGCAAGCUCCGCCUCCCGGGUUCCCGCCAUUCUCCUGCCUCAGCCUUCCUAGUAGCUGGGAUUACAGGCGCCCGCCAACAGGCCCGGUUAAUUUUUUGUAUUUUUAGUAGAGGUGGGGUUUCACCAUGUUAUCCAGGAUGAUCUCGAUCUCCUGACCUCGUGAUUUACCCGCCUGGGCCUGCCAAAGUGCUGGGAUUGCAGGCGUGAGCCACCGGGCUCGCCUGGCCUGAUUUCUAUUCUUUUCUACCAACAUGCCUUUCUUCUGUCUAGGUGCUUUCUUUAUCAUUGUUUUGGAGCCACUUGGUCAUGAAGUGCUUUUUAAAUAGAUAUAUUCGUGUUUUUUGUGUUUGGGAACUCACUGAGUUUUUGAAUGUGUGGGUUUAUUACUUUGUAUAAAUUUGGACUCCAGUUACACAUAUGUGAGGCUGCUGGAAGCUAUACCACAGCUCACUGAUACUGUUUUCAUUCAUGUUUAUUAUGUUUGUCUCUUUUAUUUUAGAUGGGUUCCAUUGCCAUAUCUUCAAGCUUACUAAUCUUUUCUUCUGCAAGUCUAAUAUGCAGUUAAUACCAUUCCCUGUACUUUUAAAACAUCACUGACAUUAUAGCUUUCCUCCCUAGAAGUUUUAUCUGGGUCUUCUUUAUUUUCACCUCAUCUCUAUUAACUUUUCAACGUAUAGAGUGCAGUGACAAAAACUAUGUAUGAAAAACUAACUGUUUUAAUGUUAUAUAACUGCUGUGUCACUUCUGGGCCGGUUUCAAAUAAUUAAAUUAUCUAUGCAUUCUGGGUGAUAUUUUUAUAUUUCUUUGCAUGCCCAAUAUUUAUUCGAUGCCAGCUAUUGUGAAUUUUAGCUUGUUGGGUACUGUAAAUUUUUGUAUUUCAAUAAAUACGCUUGACUAUUCUGAGA